GGAUUUUAUUCUCUCCAUUUUACAGAUGGGGAAACCCAGGCUCCGAAAGUAAAGAGCUUUUCCUCUGUGGGCCUCAGAAUCUGAGAAGUUCAAUCAAGUUCUCAGGAGCCCUUCCAGCACCCCCAGUCCUCGACUGGGGAGGGGCCAUCUGCAGUCUGACAGCUGCUCUCAGGGCAGAGAUCUCCAUCCAAAGCAGCAGGCCCUCCUCUCUCCACUGCCCACCCAGCAGCUUCUGGGCCCAGCCAGGCCCAUUAGGGAUUUUCCACCUCCCCGAAAAGGUCCUAAUGACUGUCAGUCCUUGUGAAGCCUUAAUUAAUCUCAGAGGCCGAUGGCUCAGAGGAGACUGGGGGCUUUGGCCUUACGCAGAUGAAGAUUGCGGCUCUAUUUCAUGUGGUGGUGAAGGAACGCCUCAGACAUUCCUGCCAGCAAUAAAAGCCACAUGGCUUUCCAGCGUCGCCCUUGGAAAAGAAAAAAAGUGCAGCCCUUUGCGGAAAGAAAUCAACUAUGUGCUGUACGCAUGGCAUGAGAUACAAAUGGGCACACGGAGGUGGGGAACAGUCGGUCUUUUAUGCCACCUCUGAUGUCCACUGACAGAGGCAGGGCCAGCGGUCACGGUCCCAGCUGCAGUCCUGGGGAGAGGGAGUGACCCCCAGUGUGGUGGGGGAAGCCUCAGCUCCUCCACCUGAACUGGAUUUGAGCCACCGCAGAUAUCCCAGAGGCAGGGCCAGCUUCCUGGCCUGUGACCCAUGCAGUCGCACAGGGCCCUGGUCUCAGAAGGGUCCUGAGCUUGUUUUAAUGCCCUGCCACCGCUGCCUUGAACUUCUGAAUACUUGCUCAACAGAGGCCCUGCGUUUUCAUUUUGUACCGGCCCCCCAAAUUAUAUAGCCAAUCCUGACCACAAUCCUGACCCGCCCAUCGUCAGUUGUCACGUCUCUCCUGGCCCCUGCCAAGUACCCAAUCCCGGGGAGUAGGGUUUCUUGAGCGCCUGCUGGCCGCUUUGCUUAUAUCACCUGAGAUGAACUUCAAAACAACUCCGUGAAUUGGACAGAUGUGGAAAAUUGAGGCUCAGAGAGGCUUCCAUAUGGCAAGGAAGCCUAGAUUUGAACUCAGGUCUCCCUGACUCCAAAGUGAGUACUCUUAGCAGCUCUACAUUCUGCAUGAUUUCAUCUUCAUCAUGCCCAGGGGGAUGGGGAUACACACAGUUAGGCUGCUCUAUGCCCAGAUAACAGAAGGCAUAACUGAGGCCGGAGAAGUGAAGGUUCUCAAAUCAGAGUCAAACCAAGGGCCGGGGCACCGGUGGACCUGGGCCUGGAUCCAUAGGGCUGGGGAUGGAGUCCCAGUUUUAUACUUGUUUGUGCCACUUGUAAAUUUAUUAGCUCUUUCCAUGCAGGUCACUGCCUUGAGUCUGGUCUGGAAUGUGGUUGGAGCCCUGCUCCUUCCCCCUCCCCAACAGCUCUCCAUUCUAAACAUCUGGAAGUCCUUCCUUGUGUCUUCUUCCACUCUUUCAUGCUGCAGUUUUCCUCUGCCACCCUCACUGGUUGGGAAGCAGUUGGAUCUGGCACCUUGAUAAACUCAAAAGAGUCCAAAUUCUUGAUGAAAGUUGGGACUGAACAGAGCCCAAAAUUGCCAUGUCCUGUAACUGGGUCUGGGCCUGAGGCUCAUAGAGCCGGCUGCUAGAUCCAGGGGAGCCAUUUCAUUGUUCCCUGCUGGGUAACCUUGAGCAAGUCCCUUCCCUCUCUGGCCCUGAGACUCCCCUUCAGGGAGAUAAAUGCAUUGGACAAUGCCUGAGCCCCAGGAGGCCUCUCUGUCUUCAACAUUCUCGAAUUCCAUAUUAAUCUACAACAGGUCUGCUCAUUUCCCCAGCUAUGAGCUGGGGAAACCGAGGCCCAGGAAGGCUCAGAGACUUGCCCAACAUCACAGAAGGUGCUUAUUGACAACUGGACUUGACUCUGAGGCUCCUAUCAGCUGGCCUGGCUGCCUCUGCACAAACCUUCGGAGGACCUGGCCUCAGCAUCAGCUCAGCUUGCCCUUGUCCCGCCCCCUCUAGCCCACUUUGGCCUGUCAGGCGUCCUGAGUGUCCAGGCCUGGAAAUCACAGCUAAGGGUCCCUGGCAUGCAAUAAAGUUCCUCUUCUAUGGUUU